rnacentral:rRNA from 1 species
AUGGGGAGAAAUCCGCCACGUAUGGUCGUGCUGCUGGCUGCGGCCGUGGUCACCACCAUGCUGUCGCUGAGCGCGUCGUCGGCGGGCGGGCAGCUGCUGCACCCGGUGGUGCUCAUCCCGGGCUCCGGCGGCAACCAGCUGGAGGCGCGGCUGACGGACGACUACAGGCCGUCGAGCCUGACCUGCCGGGUGUGGCCGCUGGUGCGCGGCCGCGGCGGCUGGUUCCGCAUGUGGUUCGAGCCGUCCGUCGUCGUCGCGUCCCUCACCCGCUGCUUCGCCGAGCGCAUGAUGCUCUACUACGACCGCGACGCCGACGACUACCGCAACGCGCCCGGCGUGCUGACCAGGGUCGACGACUUCGGCUCCACCUCCACCCUCCGCUACCUCGACCCAACCCUCAAGGUCCUGACGGGGUACAUGGACAUCCUCGCGAGCACGCUGGAGAAGGCCGGGUACGAGGAGGGGCGCGACCUCUUCGGCGCGCCCUACGACUUCCGCUACGGCCUGGCCGCGCCGGGGCACCCUUCGCAGGUGGGCAGCGCGUACCUGGAGCGCCUCCGGCUGCUGGUGGAGUCCGCGUGCGCGGCCAACGGCGGGAGGCCGGCGAUCCUCAUGGCGCACAGCCUCGGCGGGCUCUACGCGCUGCAGUUCCUGGCGCGCGCCCCGCCCGCCUGGCGCGCGGCGCACGUGAAGCGGCUGGUGACGCUGUCCGCGCCGUGGGGCGGCUCCGUGCAGGAGAUGCUCACCUUCGCCUUCGGCAACACCCUCGGCGUGCCCUUCGUCGACCCCUCCCUCAUCCGCGACGAGCAGCGCAGCUCCGAGAGCAACCUCUGGCUGCUGCCCACGCCCAAGGUCUUCGGCAACACCACGCUCGUCGUGUCGGAGCGCCACAACCGGACCUACUCCGCCAAGAACGUCACACAGUUCCUCAACGACAUUGGGUUCGCCGAUGGGGUGGAGCCGUACCGGGCGCGGAUACGGCCGCUCGGCGAGGUCCUGCCGGAGCCGGGCGUGCCGGUCACGUGCCUCGUGGGCACCGGCGUCGACACCGUGGAGAGCCUCGUGUUCGGGGACGAGGGGUUCGACGCGGGGCCCGUCAAUGUGGUGUACGGUGACGGCGACGGGACGGUGAACCUCGCCAGCCUCAUGGGACCGAUCAAGGCCUGGUCCGACUCGCCGGCGCAGGUCCUCGAGGUGGUGGAGCUGCCCAAGGUCUCGCACAUGGGCAUCCUCAAGGACAAGAGCGCCCUCGACCAGAUCCUCAGGAUUCUUGAUUCCAUCAACCUAAACGCCACGACCAUGACCUAUCAGUCUUAUAAAUAG